UUGGAGGGCAAGUCUGGUGCCAGCAGCCGCGGUAAUUCCAGCUCCAAUAGCGUAUAUUAAAGUUGUUGUGGUUAAAAAGCUCGUAGUUGAACCUUGGGCCUGGCUGGCCGGUCCGCCUCACCGCGUGUACUGGUCCGGCCGGGCCUUUCCCUCUGUGGAACCCCAUGCCCUUCACUGGGUGUGGCGGGGAAACAGGACUUUUACUUUGAAAAAAUUAGAGUGCUCCAGGCAGGCCUAUGCUCGAAUACAUUAGCAUGGAAUAAUAGAAUAGGACGUGUGGUUCUAUUUUGUUGGUUUCUAGGACCGCCGUAAUGAUUAAUAGGGACAGUCGGGGGCAUCAGUAUUCAAUUGUCAGAGGUGAAAUUCUUGGAUUUAUUGAAGGCUAACUACUGCGAAAGCAUUUGCCAAGGAUGUUUUCAUUAAUCAGGAACGAAAGUUAGGGGAUCGAAGACGAUCAGAUACCGUCGUAGUCUUAACCAUAAACUAUGCCGACUAGGGAUCGGACGAUGUUAUUUUUUGACUCGUUCGGCACCUUACGGGAAAC
rnacentral:rRNA from 1 species